rnacentral:rRNA from 1 species
UACGUAGGGUCCGAGCGUUGUCCGGAAUCAUUGGGCGUAAAGAGCGUGUAGGCGGCCCGGUAAGUCCGCUGUGAAAGUCGGGGGCUCAACCCUCGAAUGCCGGUGGAAACUGUCGGGCUCGAGUGCGGAAGAGGCGAGUGGAAUUCCUGGUGUAGCGGUGAAAUGCGCAGAUAUCAGGAAGAACACCCGUGGCGAAGGCGGCUCUCUGGGACGGUACUGACGCUGAGACGCGAAAGCGUGGGGAGCGAACAGG